AGUGAACGCUGGCGGCAGGCCUAACACAUGCAAGUCGAGCGGCAGCGCGGGGGCAACCCUGGCGGCGAGCGGCGGACGGGUGAGGAAUGCGUCGGAAUCUGCCUCUUUGUGGGGGAUAACGUAGGGAAACUUACGCUAAUACCGCAUACGACCUACGGGCGAAAGUGGGGGACCUUCGGGCCUCACGCAGAGAGAUGAGCCGAUGCCGGCUUAGCUAGUUGGCGGGGUAAAGGCCCACCAAGGCGACGAUCCGUAGCUGGUCUGAGAGGACGAUCAGCCACACUGGAAAUGAGACACGGUCCAGACUCCGACGGGAGGCAGCAGUGGGGAAUAUUGGACAAUGGGCGGAAGCCUGAUCCAGCCAUGCCGCGUGUGUGAAGAAGGCCUUCGGGUUGUAACGGACUUUUGUCCGGAAAGAAAAGCUUCCGAUUAAUACUCGGGAGUCAUGACGGUACCGGAAGAAUAAGCACCGGCUAACUUCGUGCCAGCCGCCGCCGUAACAC
rnacentral:rRNA from 1 species